rnacentral:rRNA from 1 species
GAUGAACGCUGGCGGCGUGCCUAAUACAUGCAAGUCGAGCGAACGAACGAGGCGCUUGCUUCUCUUAUGUUAGCGGCGGACGGGUGAGUAACACGUGGAUAACCUACCUAUAAGACUGGGAUAACUUCUGGAAACCUUAGCUAAUACCGGAUAAUAUUUUGAACCUCAUGGUUCAACAGUGAAAGACGUUCUUGCUGUCCCUUAUAGAUGUAUCCACGGUGCUUUAGCUAGUGGGUAGGGUAACGGCUUACCAAGGCGACGAUGCGUAACGGACCUGAGAGGAGGAUCAGACACACGGGAACUGAGACAGGGUCAAGAAACCAAAGGGAGGCAGAAGGGGGGAAUAUUGGACAAGGGGCGAAAGCCGGACGAAGAAAUGCGGCGUGGGUGAAGAAGGUCUUCGGAUGGUAAAGAACUUUAAGUGGGGAGGAAGGGGAGGAAGGUAAAAACUUGCUGGAUUGACGGUACCAACAGAGAAAGCAACGGCUAACUUCGUG